GGUGUAGCGCAGUUUGGUAGCGCGGCUGGUUUGGGACCAGUAGGUCGUAGGUUCGAAUCCUAUCA
rnacentral:tRNA from 1 species